rnacentral:rRNA from 1 species
CAGUCGACGGCAGCACAGCAGAGCUUGCUCUGUGGGUGGCGAGUGGCGGACGGGUGAGGAAUACGUCGGAAUCUGCCUUUUUGUGGGGGAUAACUACGCGAAAGCGUGGCUAAUACCGCAUACGCCCUACGGGGGAAAGGGGGGGAUCGCAAGACCUCUCACUAUUGGAGCGGCCGAUAUCGGAUUAGCUAGUUGGUGGGGUAAAGGCUCACCAAGGCGACGAUCCGUAGCUGGUUUGAGAGGACGACCAGCCACACUGGGACUGAGACACGGCCCAGACUCCUACGGGAGGCAGCAGUGGGGAAUUUUGGACAAUGGGGGAAACCCUGAUCCAGCCAUCCCGCGUGUGCGAUGAAGGCCUUCGGGUUGUAAAGCACUUUUGGCAGGGAAGAAACGGCGCCGGUUAACACCUGGCGUCACUGACGGUACCUGCAGAAUAAGCACCGGCUAACUACGUGCCAGCAGCCGCGGUAAUACGUAGGGUGCAAGCGUUAAUCGGAAUUACUGGGCGUAAAGCGUGCGCAGGCGGUUCGGAAAGAAGGAUGUGAAAUCCCAGGGCUUAACCUUGGAACUGCAUUCUUAACUGCCGGGCUAGAGUAUGUCAGAGGGGGGUAGAAUUCCACGUGUAGCAGUGAAAUGCGUAGAGAUGUGGAGGAAUACCGAUGGCGAAGGCAGCCCCCUGGGAUAAUACUGACGCUCAUGCACGAAAGCGUGAGGAGCANACAGGAUUAGAUACCCUGGUAGAAUCACUAGUGAAUUC